UACGGAGGGGGCUAGCGUUGUUCGGAAUUACUGGGCGUAAAGCGCACGUAGGCGGCUUUGUAAGUUAGAGGUGAAAGCCCAGGGCUUAACCCUGGAAUUGCCUUUAAGACUGCAUCGCUAGAAUCGUGGAGAGGUGAGUGGAAUUCCGAGUGUAGAGGUGAAAUUCGUAGAUAUUCGGAAGAACACCAGUGGCGAAGGCGACUCACUGGACACGUAUUGACGCUGAGGUGCGAAAGCGUGGGGAGCAACAGGA
rnacentral:rRNA from 1 species